AGCGGCAACAGCUCAAAUUUGAAAUCUGGCCCUUUCAGGGUCCGAGUUGUAAUUUGUAGAGGGUGCUUUGGUGUUGGCCGUGGUCUAAGUUCCUUGGAACAGGACGUCACAGAGGGUGAGAAUCCCGUACGUGGCCGCCGGUCUUCACCGUGUAAAGCCCCUUCGACGAGUCGAGUUGUUUGGGAAUGCAGCUCUAAAUGGGAGAUAAAUUUCUUCUAAAGCUAAAUAUUGGCCAGAGACCGAUAGCGCACAAGUAGAGUGAUCGAAAGAUGAAAAGCACUUUGGAAAGAGAGUCAAAAAGCACGUGAAAUUGUUGAAAGGGAAGCGCUUGCAGCCAGACGUGCCCGCAGUUGCUCACCUGGGCUUUUGCCCGGGGCAUUCUUCUGCGGGCAGGCCAGCAUCAGUUCGGGCGGUUGGAUAAAGGCCUCUAUCACGUACCAUCCUUCGGGAUGUCCUUAUAGGGGAGGCGCAACACGACCAGCCUGAACUGAGGACCGCGCAUUUGCUAGGAUGCUGGCGUAAUGGCUGUAAGCGGCCCGUCUUGAAACACGGACCAAGGAGUCUAACAUCUAUGCGAGUGUUUGGGUGUAAAGCCCGGACGCGCAAUGAAAGUGAACGGAGGUGGGAACCCCUCGGGGUGCACCAUCGACCGAUCCUGAAGUCUUCGGAUGGAUUUGAGUAAGAGCAUAGCUGUUGGGACCCGAAAGAUGGUGAACUAUGCCUGAAUAGGGUGAAGCCAGGGGAAACCCUGGUGGAGGCUCGCAGCGGUUCUGACGUGCAAAUCGAUCGUCAAAUUUGG
rnacentral:rRNA from 1 species